UACGUAGGGGGCAAGCGUUGUCCGGAUUUAUUGGGCGUAAAGAGCGUUGUAGGCGGCCAGGUAGGUCCGAUGUGAAAACUGGAGGCUCAACCUCCAGCUGUCAUUGGAAACCAUCUGGCUAGAGUCCGGAAGAGGAGAGUGGAAUUCCUGGUGUAGCGGUGAAAUGCGCAGAUAUCAGGAAGAACACCGAUGGCGAAGGCAGCUCUCUGGGACGGUACUGACGCUGAGACGCGAAAGCGUGGGGAGCGAACAGG
rnacentral:rRNA from 1 species